AACGAACGCUGGCGGCAGGCCUAACACAUGCAAGUCGAGCGAGAUCUUCGGGUCUAGCGGCGGACGGGUGAGUAACGCGUGGGAAUAUGCCCUUCUCUGCGGAAUAGCCUCGGGAAACUGAGCGUAAUACCGCAUACGCCCUUUGGGGGAAAGAUUUAUCGGAGAAGGAUUAGCCCGCGUUGGAUUAGGUAGUUGGUGGGGUAACGGCCUACCAAGCCGACGAUCCAUAGCUGGUUUGAGAGGAUGAUCAGCCACACUGGGACUGAGACACGGCCCAGACUUCUACGGGAGGCAGCAGUGGGGAAUCUUAGACACUGGGGGAAACCAUGAUCUAGCCAUGCCGCGUGAGUGAUGAAGGCCUUAGGGUUGUAAAGCUCUUUCAGCUGGGAAGAUAAUGACGGUACCAGCAGAAGAAGCCCCGGCUAACUCCGG
rnacentral:rRNA from 1 species